UCAUGACCAACUCUAGGGGGCAUUGCUCAUCUAUGUUUCCUAGCUGAGGGAGCCAACAUUGUCCAAAGAUGAUUCCAUAGUCACAUGGCCAGCACAACUCUAUGCUCAGAUGCCUGGAACCCAGUUACCUUCCUACUGAAAUGGAAAGAACAAUGAAUGAGCGGAAUGACAUGCCUCCAGAAAUGGCAGAGAAGAAGCAAAGCCGGUUCUGAAGUUUUCAUGCACGAAGCAGCAUAGUGGUGGAUUGCCCCCGGUUCGGACCUGUAGUAAACUGGCAGGAGGCUCCGCCCACCAACCGCAACAUCAUCAGGGAGCUUCUACACAGCCUUGUUGCAAACUGGUAGUAAAGCAGGACUGAAAGAGAUGGCACUGAAAUCAAAAUUGAAGACACUGUUUGGAGCUGAAGGGAGGGGAGAGCUGAGGAGGAUGGAGCCUUCAACCAAAGCUGUGUCAAACUGAAUUCAUAUUAGAGUAACCAAGGAAAUAAACAAUCCUGCAACCUGA